AUACGGAGAGUGCAAACGUUGUUCGGAAUCAUUGGGCGUAAAGCGCGCGUAGGUUGUGUAUCAGGUCAAGUGUGAAAGCCCAGGGCUCAACCCUGGAACUGCGCUUGAAACCGGUACGCUAGAGUCCCUAAGGGAGAAGCGGAACUCUUGGUGUAGGGGUGAAAUCCGUAGAUAUCAGGAGGAACACCAGAGGCGAAGGCGGCUUCUUGGUAGGGUACUGACACUGAGGUGCGAAAGCGUGGGUAGCAAACAGGAUUAGAUACCCCAGUAGUCC
rnacentral:rRNA from 1 species